rnacentral:lncRNA from 1 species
CAUGCAGAUUGCUUCUUCUUCUGCAGUAUGGGUGGCUACAGUUUUCAUGUAUAUAGAAAUACAUGGCUAUAUCAAUGAGCAAGACCUCUCUUAUAAGAUGUUUAUAUAUUUUUGUUUUACACUUUGUUUUCUUCCUUCUAUUGAUUCAUUUUUAUAAAUAAGCUAGUUAUAUAAUGAUGAAGAAUAUAUCCAAGCUGUACAAGUUGAAAGAACAAUAAAAAUGAAUACUGUUUUUGUUUGUAUUUUCGCCCACUAAGAAAAGUGAAGAACUAGCCUAACAUUGACAUCUAAAGAUAAAUAAAAAUUAAAGACAUUGUGUUAGGAAAAUGGAAAGGAUAUAAUAUUAGAACGUCUUCCGCAUCUCCAAAAGUUUAUCUCUGAUAGUCUUCAUAGCAUAGCACCCUAUGAGUCUGCCUGUAUCUUAAGCUUAAUCAUUUCAGAACUAAUGUUUAUAUCCGAAGAAAAGCAUACAUUGAUGCAAAGACCAAUGAUAUGAUGUAGUUACAUUAUUUCUAUUGAAGUUAUUUCCCAUAACAUUCAUCACAGAGGGAGAAGGAAUGCAUUAGUUUUACAUAUAGGCAUAUAAACCUUGAACAAAAAACUUUUGAGUAAUCUAUUUCCAUAAUACUAUUUCCAUUCCAUCUAUGAAGGAUCAUACCUACUACAAUAUCAACAUCCAAAAUCAAAUAACUUUCAUGUAUAAAUACUUUACUCUUAAUACUAGCAGUCCUGCCUAAUUAAGCACCAGCAACUUGGAAACUGCCCUUAAACCUUUCAACAGAAUCAUGCCCGAGUCUUAAAUAAUAUCGGUAACUUAAUUUACAUGUCUCUGAAGAGGUGUGACAUUUUUUUACAUGCAGAAAAUUCCUAAAUGGUGGGUUUGGUGCUACUGGAUCACCCCCACAGCUUGGUCACUGAAUGGGCUCCUAACUUCACAAUAUGGAGACAUGGAUAAGGAAAUACUCAUAUUUGGGGAGAAAAAACAAGUUGGUUCUUUCCUAAAAGAUUACUAUGGCUUCAGACAUGACAGAUUAAGCAUUGUGGCUGUGGUGCUCAUUGCUUACCCAAUUAUUUAUGCAUCUCUCUUUGCCUAUUGCAUAGGGAAAAUGAAUUUCCAAAAGAGAUAGACACAUGCAGAUUGCUUCUUCUUCUGCAGUAUGGGUGGCUACAGUUUUCAUGUAUAUAGAAAUACAUGGCUAUAUCAAUGAGCAAGACCUCUCUUAUAAGAUGUUUAUAUAUUUUUGUUUUACACUUUGUUUUCUUCCUUCUAUUGAUUCAUUUUUAUAAAUAAGCUAGUUAUAUAAUGAUGAAGAAUAUAUCCAAGCUGUACAAGUUGAAAGAACAAUAAAAAUGAAUACUGU